CCUACGGGGGGCAGCAGUGAGGAAUAUUGGUCAAUGGACGAGAGUCUGAACCAGCCAAGUAGCGUGAAGGAUGACUGCCCUAUGGGUUGUAAACUUCUUUUAUAUGGGAAUAAAAUGUUCCACGUGUGGGAUUUUGUAUGUACCAUAUGAAUAAGGAUCGGCUAACUCCGUGCCAGCAGCCGCGGUAAUACGGAGGAUCCGAGCGUUAUCCGGAUUUAUUGGGUUUAAAGGGAGCGUAGGUGGUUUGUUAAGUCAGUUGUGAAAGUUUGCGGCUCAACCGUAAAAUUGCAGUUGAAACUGGCAGUCUUGAGUACAGUAGAGGUGGGCGGAAUUCGUGGUGUAGCGGUGAAAUGCUUAGAUAUCACGAAGAACUACGAUUGCGAAGGCAGUUCACUGGACUGCAACUGACACUGAGGCUCGAAAGUGUGGGUAUCAAACAGGAUUAGAUACCCGAGUAGUC
rnacentral:rRNA from 1 species